rnacentral:rRNA from 1 species
UAGGGAAUAUUGCGCAAUGGGGGAAACCCUGACGCAGCGACGCCUCGUGUGUGAUGAAGGCUUUAGGGUCGUAAAGCACUGUCGCAAGGGAAUAAGAUCUGAAUGUACCUUGCAAGAAAGCACCGGCUAACUUCGUGCCAGCAGCCGCGGUAAUACGAGGGGUGCAAGCGUUGUUCGGAAUUACUGGGCGUAAAGCGGGUGUAGGCGGAACCGUCAGUCAGAUGUGAAAUCCCAGGGCUCAACCCUGGACGUGCAUUUGAUACUGCGGUUCUUGAGUGUGGGAGAGGGUCGUGGAAUUCCUGGUGUAGUGGUGAAAUACGUAGAUAUCAGGAGGAACACCGGUGGCGAAGGCGGCGGCCUGGCCCAACACUGACGCUCAGACCCGAAAGCGUGGGGAGCAAACAGGAUUAGAUACCCCCGUAGUCC